rnacentral:rRNA from 1 species
UACGAAGGGGGCUAGCGUUGUUCGGAAUCACUGGGCGUAAAGGGCGCGUAGGCGGCUGUUCAAGUCGGGGGUGAAAUCCCGUGGCUCAACCACGGAAUGGCCUUCGAUACUGGACGGCUCGGAGACCGGAAGAGGUGAGUGGAACUGCGAGUGUAAGAGGUGAAAUUCGUAGAUAUUCGCAAGAACACCAGUGGCGAAGGCGGCUCACUGGUCCGGGUUCUGACGCUGAGGCGCGAAAGCGUGGGGAGCAAACAGGG